GUGCUUGCUUCAGUGGCACAUACACUAAAAUUGGAAAGAUACAGAAAAUAUUAGCAUGGCCCGUGUGCAAAGCUGACAGGCAAAUCGGUGGAACAUUACACAUUUUA
ensembl:snRNA U6 U6 spliceosomal RNA